UUCGCAAUGCCCGAAAGGGUGACAAUGCGACGCCGCGUGAGCGAAGAAGGCCCUAGGGUUGUAAAGCUCUGUCGAGGGUUAUGAAAUAUAGAUGGGUUAAUACCCCAUUUAUUUGACAAAAGCCCAAAAGGAAGCCACGGCUGACUCUGUGCCAGCAGCCGCGGUAAUACAGAGGUGGCGAGCGUUGUUCGGUAUUAUUGGGCGUAAAGAGCACGUAGGUGGUUUUGUAAGUCAGGUGUGAAAGCCUUCUGUUCAAAGGAAGAACGGCAUCUGAAACUACAGAUCUUGAGUGUAGGAGGGGAGAGUGGAACUUCUGGUGGAGCGGUGAAAUGCGUAGAUAUCAGAAGGAACGUCGGCGGCGAAAGCGACUCUCUGGCCUAUUACUGACACUGAGUGUGCGAAAGUUAGGGGAGCAAACGGGAUUAGAUACCCCGGUAGUCCUAACUGUAAACGAUGGGCACUAAGUAGAGGGGUUUU
rnacentral:rRNA from 1 species